CCAAAACUGUUGCCUCGGCGGGAUCUCUGCCCCGGGUGCGUCGCAGCCCCGGACCAAGGCGCCCGCCGGAGGACCAACCAAAACUCUUUUUGUAUACCCCCUCGCGGGUUUUUUAUAAUCUGAGCCUUCUCGGCGCCUCUCGUAGGCGUUUCGAAAAUGAAUCAAAACUUUCAACAACGGAUCUCUUGGUUCUGGCAUCGAUGAAGAACGCAGCGAAAUGCGAUAAGUAAUGUGAAUUGCAGAAUUCAGUGAAUCAUCGAAUCUUUGAACGCACAUUGCGCCCGCCAGUAUUCUGGCGGGCAUGCCUGUCCGAGCGUCAUUUCAACCCUCGAACCCCUCCGGGGGGUCGGCGUUGGGGAUCGGCCCUGCCUUGGCGGUGGCCGUCUCCGAAAUACAGUGGCGGUCUCGCCGCAGCCUCUCCUGCGCAGUAGUUUGCACACUCGCAUCGGGAGCGCGGCGCGUCCACAGCCGUUAAACACCCAACUUCUGAAAUGUUGACCUCGGAUCAGGUAGGAAUACCCGCUGAACUUAAGCAUAUCAAUAAGCGGAGGA
rnacentral:rRNA from 1 species